UGUUGGAGGGAUUGUCACAAUUGUGUGUACAGGGCUACUUUGCGCAGGCAUUGUGAUGGAUCUGGCUGCCGCAGAAUCACUUGGAAUCGCUUCAUGACACGCAAUUGGAUACAAAUGUCACCUGACCCUCCCCCGACUUUCAUUGCCCAUUCCACAGUACUAGCACUGCCUUAGAGAAUGAAACCUGAAAUGCUAGACUGAGAAACCGCUCACAGAAUAGAAUGGGAAGCUUGACGUGCGCAGGUAUGGCAUGCUACUGUAAGGGUUUUUUUAUUCUACGCACGUGCGCACGGCAUGGUGUUGAAGUGGUUAAAAGACAGUCAUUUUUUAAAUAUUUUAAAUUCUUUUGGGAACAAUAAGAGGCAGAAAGGGGUUUUUAUCAAUAAGGCAACAGUGGGUUCAGACCUGACUGUUUUGUCACCAGUACACUAUGAGAGCACUAGCAAGGUGAUGAGAGAGCUGGAGGAGGAUGUUACUGAACUCCAUAGGGCUCUGACAGAGGAGUUCAUUUCACUGCAGAGAUGUGUGCUGGCUAUCAGGGAGGAGGGGGCUGUCAGAACAAGCCAAGCUGACAGAGGAGUUCAUUUCACUGCAGAGAUGUGUGCUGGCUAUCAGGGAGGUGGGGGCUGUCAGAACAAGCCAAGCUGACAGAGGAGUUCAUUAUUCUGCAGAGAUGUGUGCUGGCUAUCAGGGAGAACAAGCCUGCCUCUUGUAUGAGCAGCUCAUUUGUUGCUCUUGUUUUUUGUGACACAGAUCUUGUGACAAAUGUUAUUAAAAGGGAAUUGUGGUGAACAACACAUUGUUUCUGUGUCACCCCUGGCAACCCUAUUGUAUUUACAUGCAACUCUCCACAAUAGUCUGCAAUAGAUUUUACACCUCAGUGUGCAGAAUGUAACCCAGCUCUCUUCUUUCACAGAGUCUGUGAGGCGCGAGAGGUCCUUAAAUCAGAAUGGAAGUGGAUCCUCAGCUCAGCAGUUGACAGUUUGUCUCUGGACCUCGAUACAGCACACCCCCGGCUCACCCUGCCUGUGGAUGUGAAACGAGUGAGAAGAACACGACGGGAUCUCCCUGACAAUCCCCAGAGAUUUGAUUCCAGGCGCUGUGUGCUGGGCAGGGAGGGCUUCACCUCAGGGAGACACUACUGGGAGCUGGGGGUGGGAGAGAAUACAUUCUGGAGAUUAGGAGUCAGCAGAGAGUCUGCCCUGAGGAAGGGGGGGUUCAGCAUUACCCCCCAGCAGGGUUACUGGACUGUGGGGUGGG